rnacentral:rRNA from 1 species
UCAGUAGUCUUUUAAUUGAAGGCUUGUAUGAACGGUUGGAUGAGAGAAUAGCUGUCUCUUAAAUAACUUAGAAUUUGACUUUUAAGUGAAAAGGCUUAAAUUUAAUAGUGGGACGAUAAGACCCUGUAAAACUUUAUACGCAUAGUAUUUAGUCUUUAAAUUAUAUUAAAAUAUUGAUACAUACUUUGGGUAUUUCGUUGGGGAGACGUUGAUAUAAUUUGUAACUGUCUAAUUAAAUAAAAUAAUUAUCAUUAUACUUUGAUCCUUCUUUGUGGGUUAUAAGAAUAAGUUACUUCAGGGAUAACAGCGUAAUUUUCUCAGAGAGUUCUUAUCGAAGAGAUUAGUUGCGACCUCGAUGUUGAAUUAAAAUUUCAGCUAGGUGUAGCCGCUUAGUUAGUAGGUCUGUUCGACCUUUAAAAUUUUAC